rfam:Salmo salar isolate Sally breed double haploid chromosome ssa02, whole genome shotgun sequence.
UGCAUUCACUACUGUAAGUCACUCUGGAUAAGAGCGUCUGCUAAAUGACGUAAA